CAACUUUUGACAACUGGAUCUCUUGGUUCUCGCAACGAUGAAGAACGCAGCAAAAUGCGAUAAGUACGUGUGAANNNNGAUACCGUGAACUCAUCGAAUCUUCGAACGCAUAUUG
rnacentral:rRNA from 1 species